CUGGGGGGGUCCGGGUGUGCCCAGGUGUGCAGGAAGGGAUCCAGAUGUGCACAGGUGUGCUCAGGUGUGUCUGGGGGGGAUCCAGGUGUGCUCAGGUGUGUGCAGGGGGGUCCAGGUGUGCUCAGGUGUGCAGGAAGGGUCUGUGAAGGGAUCCAGAUGUGCCCAGGUGUGUGUGAGAGGGAUCCAGGUGUGUGUGAGAGGGAUCCAGGUGUGCCCAGGUGUGCAGGAAGGGUCUGUGAAGGGAUCCAGGUGUCCCCAGGUGUGCCCAGAUGUGCCCAGGUGUCCCCAGGUGUGCCCAGGAGCAGCCCCGAGCUGGGGGCUGGGCAGGGUCUGUUCAGGAGCUUCGGGAUCGUCCUGGAACCCCCCGGAGCAGCUUUGGGAUCACCCCAACCCCUCUGGAGGAGAUUUGGGAUCCUCCUGGAACCCCCCGGAGCAGCUUUGGGAUCCUCCCGGAGCUUUGGGAUCGUCCUGGAGGAGAUUUGGGAUCACCCAGGAUCCCUUGGAUCAUCUUUGGGAUCAUCGGGAUCCUCCUGGAACCUUCUGGAGCAGCUUUGGGAUCCUCCUGGAACCCCCCGGAUGGAGCAGCUUUGGGAUCCUCCUGGAACCCCCCGGAGGAGCUUUGGGAUCACCCCAGAGCUUUGGGAUCCUCCUGGAACCUUCUGGAUCACCUUUGGGAUCGUUCUGGAACCCCCUGGAUCAGCUUUGGGAUCGUUCUGGAGCUUUGGGAUCGUCCUGGAACCCCCUGGAUCAUCUUUGGGAUCAUCAGGAUCCUCCUGGAACCUUCUGGAUCACCUUUGGGAUCCUCCUGGAACCCUCUGGAUCACCUUUGGGAUCGUUCUGGAGCUUUGGGAUCGUUCUGGAACCCUCUGGAUCACCUUUGGGAUCACCCAGGAGCUCUGGGAUCCUCCUGGAACCCCCUGGAUCAGCUUUGGGAUCGUUCUGGAGCUCUGGGAUCACCCAGGAGCUCCUGGGGCGGCUUUGGACUCGUCCCAACGCCUUUGGAGCCGCUCUGGGACCGUCCUGGAUCUGUGGGAUCGUCCUGGAGCUUCAGGAUCGUUCUGGAACCUCUGGGAGCAGCGCUGGGAUCGUCCUGGAGAAGAUUUGGGAUCACCCUGGAACCCCUUGGAUCGGAUUUGGGAUCCUCCUGGAGCUUUGGGAUCGUUCUGGAACCCCUUGGAUCGGAUUUGGGAUCGUUCAGGAGAUUUGGGAUCGUUCUGGAACCCCUGGGAGAAGAUUUGGGAUCGUUCAGGACUCCUUGGAGCAGCUUUGGGAUCCUCCUGGAUCUGUGGGAUCCUCCUGGAACCCCUUGGAGUGGCUUUGGGAUCAUUCUGGAACCCCUUGGAUCGGAUUUGGGAUCCUCCUGGGUCUGUGGGAUCACUCUGGAACCCCUUGGAGAAGAUUUGGGAUCCUCCAGGAGCUUUGGGAUCAGCCAGGACCCCUUGGAUCGGCUUUGGGAUCGACCUGGAUCAGCUUUGGGAUCAGCUUUGGGCCCCCCCAAAUUCCCAGACCCCAAAAUCCCAAAAAAUCUCCGGAUUUUGGGGUCUGGGAUUUUGGAAUUUUGGAAUUUUGGGAUUUUGAAUUUUGGAAUUUUGAGAUUUUGGGAUUUUGGGAUUUGGAAUUUUGAGAUUUUGGGGUUUGGAAUUUUGGGGUUUUUGGGGUUUGGGAUUUUGGGAUUUUGGAAUUUUGAGAUUUUGGGGUUUGGGAUUUUGGGAUUUUGGGGUUUUUGGGGUUUGGGGUUUUGGGGUU
ensembl:lncRNA